GCCUGGGAUAGCUCAGUAGGCAGAGCACGAAAUUCUUCAUCUCAGGGUUGUGGGUUCGAGUACCAUGUUGUGCA